UAGCUUAAUUGGUAGUGCGUCUGCCUUGUAAGCGCUAGGCCGCGGGUUCGAUUCCCGC
rnacentral:tRNA from 1 species